CAGUCGCCGCGGGAAUACGUAGGUGGCAAGCGUCGUCCGGAAUUAUUGGGCGUAAAGGGCUCGCAGGCGGUUUCUUAAGUCUGAUGUGAAAGCCCCCGGCUCAACCGGGGAGGGUCAUUGGAAACUGGGAAACUUGAGUGCAGAAGAGGAGAGUGGAAUUCCACGUGUAGCGGUGAAAUGCGUAGAGAUGUGGAGGAACACCAGUGGCGAAGGCGACUCUCUGGUCUGUAACUGACGCUGAGGAGCGAAAGCGUGGGGAGCGAACAGGAUUAGAUACCCCUGAGUCCCUGUCUCUUAUACA
rnacentral:rRNA from 1 species